CAGCCGCCACGGGAAUACGAAGGGUGCAAGCGUUAAUCGGAAUUACUGGGCGUAAAGCGUGCGUAGGCGGUUUGUUAAGUCUGUUGUGAAAUCCCCGGGCUCAACCUGGGAAUGGCAAUGGAUACUGGCAAGCUAGAGUGUGUCAGAGGAUGGUGGAAUUCCCGGUGUAGCGGUGAAAUGCGUAGAGAUCGGGAGGAACAUCAGUGGCGAAGGCGGCCAUCUGGGACAACACUGACGCUGAGGCACGAAAGCGUGGGGAGCAAACAGGAUUAGAUACCCGCGUAGUCCCUGUCUCUUAUAC
rnacentral:rRNA from 1 species